GAUCGUAAAGCUCUGUUGUUAGGGAAGAACAAGUGCGAGAGUAACUGCUCGCACCUUGACGGUACCUAACCAGAAAGCCACGGCUAACUACGUGCCAGCAGCCGCGGUAAUACGUAGGUGGCAAGCGUUGUCCGGAAUUAUUGGGCGUAAAGGGCUCGCAGGCGGUUUCUUAAGUCUGAUGUGAAAGCCCCCGGCUCAACCGGGGAGGGUCAUUGGAAACUGGGAAACUUGAGUGCAGAAGAGGAGAGUGGAAUUCCACGUGUAGCGGUGAAAUGCGUAGAGAUGUGGAGGAACACCAGUGGCGAAGGCGACUCUCUGGUCUGUAACUGACGCUGAGGAGCGAAAGCGUGGGGAGCGAACAGGAUUAGAUACCCUGGUAGUCCACGCCGUAAACGAUGAGUGCUAAGUGUUAGGGGGUUUCCGCCCCUUAGUGCUGCAGCUAACGCAUUAAGCACUCCGCCUGGGGAGUACGGUCGCAAGACUGAAACUCAAAGGAAUUGACGGGGGCCCGCACAAGCGGUGGAGCAUGUGGUUUAAUUCGAAGCAACGCGAAGAACCUUACCAGGUCUUGACAUCCUCUGACAACCCUAGAGAUAGGGCUUUCCCUUCGGGGACAGAGUGACAGGUGGUGCAUGGUUGUCGUCAGCUCGUGUCGUGAGAUGUUGGGUUAAGUCCCGCAACGAGCGCAACCCUUGAUCUUAGUUGCCAGCAUUCAGUUGGGCACUCUAAGGUGACUGCCGGUGACAAACCGGAGGAAGGUGGGGAUGACGUCAAAUCAUCAUGCCCCUUAUGACCUGGGCUACACACGUGCUACAAUGGACAGAACAAAGGGCUGCAAGACCGCAAGGUUUAGCCAAUCCCAUAAAUCUGUUCUCAGUUCGGAUCGCAGUCUGCAACUCGACUGCGUGAAGCUGGAAUCGCUAGUAAUCGCGGAUCAGCAUGCCGCGGUGAAUACGUUCCCGGGCCUUGUACACACCGCCCGUCACACCACGAGAGUUUGCAACACCCGAAGUCGGUGAGGUAACCUUUA
rnacentral:rRNA from 2 species